GCCGAGGUAGCUCAGUGGUAGAGCGCGGCCCUGAAAAGGCCGGCGUGGGGGGUCCGAUUCCCUUCCUCGGCACCA
rnacentral:tRNA from 1 species